rnacentral:rRNA from 1 species
GCGCGAAACCUCUACAAUGCACGCAAGUGUGAUAGGGUAACCCCUCGUGCUCACCGUAAGGUGGGCUUUUGUCAAGUUUAGUGAUCUUGACGAAUAAGUGGUGGGCAAGACCGGUGCCAGCAGCCGCGGUAAUACCGGCGCCACAAGUGGAGAUCAUGUUUAUUGGGUCUAAAGUGUUCGUAGCUGGCUUUGUAAGUUUCUUGUGAAAGUUCUGUGGCUUAACCCAGAAAUUGCAAGGAAUACUGCAAAACUUGAGACAGGGAGAGGUAUGAAGUAUUGUUUGGGUAGCGGUAAAAUGUUAUAAUCCUUACAAGACUAACUAAGGCGAAGGCAUCAUACUUGAACUGAUCUGACAGUGAGGAACGAGAGCUGGGGGAGCGAACCGG